rnacentral:rRNA from 1 species
GAAAUGCGAUACGUAAUGUGAAUUGCAGAAUUCAGUGAAUCAUCGAAUCUUUGAACGCACCUUGCGCCCCUUGGUAUUCCGAGGGGCACACCCGUUUGAGUGUCGUGAAUACUCUCAACCUUCUUGGUUUCUUUGACCAUGAAGGCUUGGACUUUGGAGGUUUUUCUUGCUGGCCUCUUUAGAAGCCAGCUCCUCUUAAAUGAAUGGGUGGGGUCCGCUUUGCUGAUCCUCGACGUGAUAAGCAUCUCUUCUACGUCUCAGUGUCAGCUCGGAACCCGCUUUCCAACCGUCUUUGGACAAAGACAAUGUUCGAGUUGCGACUCGACCUUACAAACCUUGACCUCAAAUCGGGUGAGACUACCCGCUGAACUUAA